UGUUGCCUGCAAGGGCGUAUGGUGGAUGCCUUGGCAGACAGGACCGAUGAAGGACGUUUGAGGCUGCGAUAUGCCUCGGGGAGCCGCCAACAGGGCUUUGAUCCGAGGAUUUCCGAAUGGGGGAACCCACCGGCCGUCAUGGGCCGGUACCGCCGUGUGCGGGGGGUACGCAGGGAAGUGAAACAUCUCAGUACCUGCAGGAAAGGAUAUUCCGUGAGUAGUGGCGAGCGAAAGCGGAUCAGGCCAAACCUUGCGCGUGUGAUACCCGUCGGGGGUUGCGCGCGGGGUGUAGAGGGAUCGCGUUUGCCGGCUCCGACGGGCCGGCCGUCAGUUGCAUAAAACCAUGUGCCAGGGGAACCGGGUUGAAUACCGGGCCGCAGAGGGUGAGGGCCCCGUACCCGAACGCGCAUGGUCUGGCGAUCGCGUCUCCCAAGUAGCACGGGCCCCGUGGAAUCCCGUGCGAAUCAGUCCCGACCGUGGGAUAAGCCUAAAUAUUCCUGUCUGACCGAUAGCGAACGAGUACCGUGAGGGAAAGGUGAAAAGUACCCCGGGAGGGGAGUGAAACAGUCUCUGAAACCAUGCGCCUACGAACCGUCGGGGCCCCCUUGUGGGGUGACGGCGUGCCUAUCGAAAAAUGAGUCUGCGAGUCAGUGGCAUGUGGCGAGCAUAAGCCGUGUGGCGUAUGCGUAGCGAAGGCGAGUCUUAAAAGGCGUUUGAGUCGCGUGUCCUGGACCCGAAGCGGGAUGAUCUAGCCCUGAGCAGGUUGAAGCGCGGGUAAGACCGUGUGGAGGACCGAACCCACCUGGGUUGAAAACCGGGGGGAUGACUUGGGGCUAGGGGUGAAAGGCCAAUCAAAUUCCGUGAUAGCUGGUUCUCUCCGAAAUGCAUUUAGGUGCAGCGUCGGAUCGAUUACAUCCGGGGGGUAGAGCGACUGGAUGCUUGCGGGCCCAUAUCGGGUACCAACAGCAACCAAACUCCGAAUACCCGUGAUGCGUAUCCCGGCAGUGAGUCGGCGGGGGAUAAGCUCCGUCGUCGAAAGGGAAACAGCCCAGAUCGUCGUCUAAGGUCCCCAAGCGUGUGCUAAGUGGGAAAGGAUGUGGAGUCGCAUAGACAGCCAGGAGGUUGGCUCAGAAGCAGCCACCCUUGAAAGAGUGCGUAACAGCUCACUGGUCUAGUGGUUCCGCGCCGACAAUGUAGCGGGGCUCAAGCACACCACCGAAGACGCGGCAGUAGCUUUGCUACUGGGUAGGAGAGCGUCCCAUGCGGGGCGAAGCGGCGGCGCAAGCCCGCCGUGGACCGCAUGGGAGUGAGAAUGCAGACAUGAGUAGCGAAAGACGGGUGAAGAUCCCGUCCGCUGGACGACCAAGGGUUCCAGGGCCACGUUCAUCGUCCCUGGGUGAGUCGGGUCCUAAGGCGAGGCCGACAGGCGUAGUCGAAUGGAUGAACGGGUCGAUAUUCCCGUACCGGCAUGCAACCGACAAAACCGAAUCCGCGAGUACUAACCUCCGGGUCCGGGCUUACGUCUCCUUCGGGAGCCGGAUGCCCUGGCCUGUUGGGACCGUAACGGUAGUAGGUCAGCGCGGGAGUGACGCAGAAGGGUAGCCGGCCGCGGAGGUGGUCUUCCGUGGUCAAGCACGCAGCCCGUCCCACAGGCAAAUCCGUGGGGCGCGUGGGCGAGGUGCGAUGAUGGGCGCCGCAGGGCGCGAUAUCCGGUGAUCCCGGCUGCCGAGAAAAGCUUCGGCGUGAGGCGGCGUGCCGCCCGUACCCCAAACCGACACUGGUGGUCAGGUAGAGAAUACCAAAGCGAUCGAGCGAAUCCUGGUCAAGGAACUCGGCAAAUCACUCCCGUUCCUUCGGUUUAAGGGAGACCCCCGAUGGUGAAGCGGCUUGCCCGUGGAGCUUUUGGGGGUGGCACAGACCAGGGGGUAGCGACUGUUUACCAAAAACACAGGAGCGUGCGAAGGCGCAAGCCGCUGUAUACGCUCUGACGCCUGCCCGGUGCCGGAAGGUUAAGAGGAUCCGUCAGGCCUCGGCCGAAGCGGUGAAUUCAAGCCCCGGUAAACGGCGGUGGUAACUAUAACCAUCCUAAGGUAGCGAAAUUCCUUGUCGGGUAAGUUCCGACCUGCACGAAUGG
rnacentral:rRNA from 1 species